CUAAGCUAUCUGGGGAUAUGUUGCAUGUCUGUAUUUUAUGUCAUAAAUGUAACCUUGUCUAUUUUAUUGUAUUUUACUGUCUUUUUACUGCCAUGUGCUUAAUGGAGUUUUGCCUCUGUCUUUGGAGAUAAUUGGAUUACUUCCCAAUUAUCUCCAGGAUAGAAGACUCUGUGGAACUGGUUUUGGGCAGAAAAGCCAUACUUCAUUUGGUCACAAAGGACUUCG